rnacentral:rRNA from 1 species
GACGAACGCUGGCGGCGUGCUUAACACAUGCAAGUCGAACGGUGAUCUUGAGAGCUUGCUCUUGGGUGAUCAGUGGCGAACGGGUGAGUAACACGUGAGUAACCUGCCCCUGACUCUGGAAUAACUUCGGGAAACCGAAGCUAAUACCGGAUAUGACACAGAGCCGACUGGUUUCUGUGUGGAAAGUUUUUCGGUUGGGGAUGGACUCGCGGCCUAUCAGCUUGUUGGUGAGGGAAUGGCUCACCAAGGCGACGACGGGUAGCCGGCCUGAGAGGGCGACCGGCCACACUGGGACUGAGACACGGCCCAGACUCCUACGGGAGGCAGCAGUGGGGAAUAUUGCACAAUGGGCGAAAGCCUGAUGCAGCGACGCCGCGUGAGGGAUGAAGGCCUUCGGGUUGUAAACCUCUUUCAGUAGGGAAGAAGCGCAAGUGACGGUACCUACAGAAGAAGCACCGGCUAACUACGUGCCAGCAGCCGCAGUAAUAC